AACGAACGCUGGCGGCAUGCCUAACACAUGCAAGUCGAACGAGACCUUUGGGUCUAGUGGCGCACGGGUGCGUAACGCGUGGGAAUCUGCCCUUGGGUUCGGAAUAACAGUGAGAAAUUGCUGCUAAUACCGGAUGAUGUCUUCGGACCAAAGAUUUAUCGCCCAGGGAUGAGCCCGCGUAGGAUUAGCUAGUUGGUGGGGUAAUGGCCUACCAAGGCGACGAUCCUUAGCUGGUCUGAGAGGAUGAUCAGCCACACUGGGACUGAGACACGGCCCAGACUCCUACGGGAGGCAGCAGUGGGGAAUAUUGGACAAUGGGCGCAAGCCUGAUCCAGCAAUGCCGUGUGAGUGAUGAAGGCCUUAGGGUUGUAAAGCUCUUUUACCAGGGAUGAUAAUGACAGUACCUGGAGAAUAAGCUCCGGCUAACUCCGUG
rnacentral:rRNA from 1 species